rnacentral:rRNA from 1 species
AUAAUGGGUCAGCGACUUAUAUUCUGUAGCAAGGUUAACCGAAUAGGGGAGCCGAAGGGAAACCGAGUCUUAACUGGGCGUUAAGUUGCAGGGUAUAGACCCGAAACCCGGUGAUCUAGCCAUGGGCAGGUUGAAGGUUGGGUAACACUAACUGGAGGACCGAACCGACUAAUGUUGAAAAAUUAGCGGAUGACUUGUGGCUGGGGGUGAAAGGCCAAUCAAACCGGGAGAUAGCUGGUUCUCCCCGAAAGCUAUUUAGGUAGCGCCUCGUGAAUUCAUCUCCGGGGGUAGAGCACUGUUUCGGCAAGGGGGUCAUCCCGACUUACCAACCCGAUGCAAACUGCGAAUACCGGAGAAUGUUAUCACGGGAGACACACGGCGGGUGCUAACGUCCGUCGUGAAGAGGGAAACAACCCAGACCGCCAGCUAAGGUCCCAAAGUCAUGGUUAAGUGGGAAACGAUGUGGGAAGGCCCAGACAGCCAGGAUGUUGGCUUAGAAGCAGCCAUCAUUUAAAGAAAGCGUAAUAGCUCACUGGUCGAGUCGGCCUGCGCGGAAGAUGUAACGGGGCUAAACCAUGCACCGAAGCUGCGGCAGCGACGCUGAUGCGUUGUUGGGUAGGGGAGCGUUCUGUAAGCCUGCGAAGGUGUGCUGUGAGGCAUGCUGGAGGUAUCAGAAGUGCGAAUGCUGACAUAAGUAACGAUAAAGCGGGUGAAAAGCCCGCUCGCCGGAAGACCAAGGGUUCCUGUCCAACGUUAAUCGGGGCAGGGUGAGUCGACCCCUAAGGCGAGGCCGAAAGGCGUAGUCGAUGGGAAACAGGUUAAUAUUCCUGUACUUGGUGUUACUGCGAAGGGGGGACGGAGAAGGCUAUGUUGGCCGGGCGACGGUUGUCCCGGUUUAAGCGUGUAGGCUGGUUUUCCAGGCAAAUCCGGAAAAUCAAGGCUGAGGCGUGAUGACGAGGCACUACGGUGCUGAA